AUAAAUUUUGAUUUUGAGUAUAUAACUUUUGUUUAGCAGCUAAUGCAGAUUCGAAUAAUAGUAUUGACAUUUAGGGUUAUUUUAUGGCUCAAAAGGGUACAUACUACAUACAUAUUGGAACAUAGCUAAACCGAAAAAAUCAAUGCUAAACUGAAGAGAGUCAGCACUCAGCACC